CAUGCAAGUCGAACGGCAGCGGGGGGAGCUUGCUCCCUGACGGCGAGUGGCGGACGGGUGAGUAACACGUAGGAAUCUACCUUAAUUAUAUAGUUAGUGGGGGAUAACCCGGGGAAACUCGGGCUAAUACCGCAUAAUCUCUUCAAAGCAAAGCGGGGGAUCUUCGGACCUCGUGCUAUGAGAUGAGCCUGCGUCGGAUUAGCUAGUUGGUAGGGUAAUGGCCUACCAAGGCGACGAUCCGUAGCUGGUCUGAGAGGACGAUCAGCCACACUGGGACUGAGACACGGCCCAGACUCCUACGGGAGGCAGCAGUGGGGAAUAUUGGACAAUGGGGGAAACCCUGA
rnacentral:rRNA from 1 species